GUGGAGCCGUAGGGAACCAAGUCUUAAGAGGGCCAGAGUCAGUAGGAGUAGACCCGAAACCGGGUGAUCUAUCCAUGUCCAGGUUGAAGCUGCCGUAAGAGGUAGUGGAGGACCGAACCCACAUCCGUUGAAAAGGUGGGGAUGAGGUGUGGAUAGGGGAGAAAUUCCAAUCGAACCCGGAGAUAGCUGGUUCUCCUCGAAAUAGCUUUAGGGCUAGCCUCGAUACAGAUUUGCGGAGGUAGAGCACUGAAUUUCCUAGGGGGCGUCAAAGCCUACCGAAGAAUAUCAAACUCCGAAUGCCGCGUAAUCGAUUAUCGGGAGUCAGACUGCACGAGAUAAGUUGGGCGGUCAAAAGGGAAAGAGCCCAGACCUUCAGUUAAGGUCCCAAAGUGCGCGUUAAGUGGAAAAGGAUGUGGGAUUUCGAAGACAACCAGGAUGUUGGCUCAGAAGCAGCCAUCCAUUCAAAGAGUGCGUAAUAGCUCACUGGUCGAGAGGUCCUGCGCCGAAAAUGUCCGGGGC
rnacentral:rRNA from 1 species